rnacentral:rRNA from 1 species
UACGGAGGGUGCAAGCGUUGUUCGGAAUUACUGGGCGUAAAGCGCACGUAGGCGGGUUUACAAGUCGAUUGUGAAAGCCCCGGGCUCAAUCCGGGAAUGGCAGUCGAAACUGUAAGUCUUGAAUACCUGAGAGGGUGACGGAAUUCCUGGUGUAGAAGUGAAAUUCGUAGAUAUCUGGAGGAACACCGGUGGCGAAGGCGGCGAUCCUGGACCGGUAUUGACGGCUGAGGCGCGAAAGCUAGGGAGCAAACGGG